rnacentral:rRNA from 1 species
UACGGAGGGUGCAAGCAUUAAUCGGAAUUACUGGGCGUAAAGGGCGCGUAGGCGGUUUAACAAGUCAUUUGUGAAAUUCCAGGGCUUAACCCUGGAGCUGCAUAUGAAACUGUUAGACUAGAGGUAAAACGGAGAAAACGGAAUUUCCCAUGUAGCGGUGAAAUGCGUGGAUAUGGGAAGGAACACCGGUGGCGAAAGCGGUUUUCUAGUUUUAAACUGACGCUGAAGCGCGAAAGCAAGGGGAGCAAACAGG